AGCGGAGGAAAAGAAACCAACAGGGAUUGCCCUAGUAACGGCGAGCGAAGCGGCAACAGCUCAAAUUUGAAAUCUGGCUAUUUUGUAGUCCGAGUUGUAAUUUGUAGAGGAUGCUUUUGGUGAGGUGCCUUCCGAGUUCCCUGGAACGGGACGCCAGAGAGGGUGAGAGCCCCGUACGGUUGGAUACCAAACCUUUGUAUAGCUCCUUCGACGAGUCGAGUAGUUUGGGAAUGCUGCUCUAAAUGGGAGGUAUAUCUCUUCUAAAGCUAAAUAUAGGCUAGAGACCGAUAGCGCACAAGUAGAGUGAUCGAAAGAUGAAAAGCACUUUGAAAAGAGAGUUAAACAGCACGUGAAAUUGUUGAAAGGGAAGCGCCUAUGACCAGACUUGUUUCUUUCAGUUUUGUUAGUUUUCGGACUGAUUUACUCUGUUAGUACAGGCCAGCAUCAGUUUGUUGUCAGGGAGAAAGGCUUAGGGAAUGUGGCUCUUUCGGGAGUGUUAUAGCCCUUUGCAUAAUACCUUUCGGCAGACUGAGGACCGCGCUUCGGCAAGGAUGCUGGCGUAAUGGUCAUCAGCGACCCGUCUUGAAACACGGACCAAGGAGUCAACCUUAUGUGCGAGUGUUUGGGUGUAAAACCCCAGCGCGUAAUGAACGUGAACGUAGGUGAGAGCUUCGGCGCAUCAUCGACCGAUUCUGAUGUUCUCGGAUGGAUUUGAGUAAGAGCACACAGGGUUGGACCCGAAAGAAGGUGAACUAUGCUUGUAUAGGGUGAAGCCAGAGGAAACUCUGGUGGAGGCUCGCAGCGGUUCUGACGUGCAAAUCGAUCGUCAAAUAUGAGCAUGGGGGCGAAAGA
rnacentral:rRNA from 1 species